AUGCUUGAAACAAAUAUACGUAUAUGGAUUCAAUUGACUGUAAAAAGGAACAUCCAUGUAGGUUUGCUACGUUGUUUACAGCGGACAACAUCUGCCGAAUACUUGUUAUAUAUACCAAUCAUAUCAAUGGGGAAUCAUAGAUUUCUACAGCUCUAAAAUACAAUCAGAUAAGUACUUUGUACAUUGAUAAUUUCUCCCUCUCCCCACCCCUGAAUGUAAUUGAUUUUGUCUAUUGAAAUACUAACUGCUUGUUAUAACCUUUGUAGGUGACCUUUUUGACAUCACAUAAUGUAGCUUUGCAAAAUUUUGAGAGGAUUCAUCAUGAUUGACAAAAUUCGUUCGGACUGCGUGUUUUUAAAAGGUUGUGUACUCUUAUUUGGUGUUUGGCUUCUUGGCUUAUGUCUUCUAACUCUACCAGAGCUGCUACGAAUGGAGGAUAAGAAAUCUACAUCACCAGGAUCUGCAUAUGAUUGGUUUAUCUUGACAGUCACAGUAGAAAACAUACACAUUGAAGAUGGUGUUAUACUACUGCUGUUUUGCAAAUAUGUUCCAUCCAAAUAGGGAUAAGAUAUAAUAAUCAUGCCAAAAGAUUAUUAAAGUGGAUGAUACACAAUUCUAAUACACACUAAAAGAUUUGAGGUA